rnacentral:rRNA from 1 species
AACGAACGCUGGCGGCAUGCCUAACACAUGCAAGUCGAACGAGACCUUCGGGUCUAGUGGCGCACGGGUGCGUAACGCGUGGGAAUCUGCCCUUGGGUUCGGGAUAACAGUUGGAAACGACUGCUAAUACCGGAUGAUGACUUCGGUCCAAAGAUUUAUCGCCCAGGGAUGAGCCCGCGUCGGAUUAGCUAGUUGGUGGGGUAAAGGCCUACCAAGGCGACGAUCCGUAGCUGGUCUGAGGGGAUGAUCAGCCACACUGGGACUGAGACACGGCCAAGACUCUUACGUGAGGCAGCGGUGGGGAAUAUUGGACAAUGGGCGAAAGCCUGAUCCAGCAAUGCCGCGUGAGGGAUGAAGGCCUUAGGGUUGUAAAGCUCUUUUACCCGGGAUGAUACUGACAGUACCGAGAGAAUCAGCCCCGGCUAACUCCGUGCCAGCCGCCGCAGUAACAC